rnacentral:lncRNA from 1 species
GUCGAUGCUGUAGGCGAAGGACUCGGAGCAGGUGCAGUGAAUGCGGAGCGGACGGAGGUGACGAGGUCGUAGCCGAAGCAGUUGUCGCCUGUGAGGCUGAGGGCUAAGACCGUAACAUAUUGAAAUCCGGAAGAAAUUAUCGAACUUUACCCAAAUUGGUUAAAGUUGUCGAGAGAAAUAGUUGGAUAGGUUCCAUUUAGCAUUCCAACAAGAUUGGAAGGGCUAAAAAUGAGUUUAAGAG